rnacentral:rRNA from 1 species
UUAAGUUAAUAAGGGCGCACGGUGGAUGCCUUGGCACUAGGAGCCGACGAAGGACGUGACAAACGACGAUAUGCCUUGGGUAGCUGUAAGUAAGCGAUGAUCCAGGGAUUUCCGAAUGGGGGAACCCAACAGGUAAUACCUGUUACCCACAUCUGUUAAGGAUGUGAGGAGGAAGACGCAGUGAACUGAAACAUCUAAGUAGCUGCAGGAAGAGAAAGCAAAAGCGAUUGCCUUAGUAGCGGCGAGCGAAACGGCAGAAGGGCAAACCGAAGAGUUUACUCUUCGGGGUUGUAGGACUGCAAUGUGGACUCAAAGAUUAUAGAAGAAUGAUUUGGGAAGAUCAGCCAAAGAGAGUAAUAGCCUCGUAUUUAAAAUAGUCUUUGUACCUAGCAGUAUCCUGAGUACGGCGGGACACGUGAAAUCCCGUCGGAAUCUGGGAGGACCAUCUCCCAACCCUAAAUACUCCCUAGUGACCGAUAGUGAACCAGUACCGUGAGGGAAAGGUGAAAAGCACCCCGGGAGGGGAGUGAAAUAGAACCUGAAACCGUGUGCCUACAACAAGUUCGAGCCCGUUAAUGGGUGAGAGCGUGCCUUUUGUAGAAUGAACCGGCGAGUUACGUUAUGAUGCGAGGUUAAGUUGAAGAGACGGAGCCGUAGGGAAACCGAGUCUGAAUAGGGCGCCUUAGUAUCAUGACGUAGACCCGAAACCAUGUGACCUACCCAUGAGCAGGUUGAAGGUGCGGUAAGACGCACUGGAGGACCGAACCAGGGCACGUUGAAAAGUGCUUGGAUGACUUGUGGGUAGCGGAGAAAUUCCAAACGAACUUGGAGAUAGCUGGUUCUCUCCGAAAUAGCUUUAGGGCUAGCGUCGACAUUAGAGAUUCUUGGAGGUAGAGCACUGUUUGGGUGAGGGGUCCAUCCCGGAUUACCAAUCUCAGAUAAACUCCGAAUGCCAAUGAAUUAUGGUCGGCAGUCAGACUGCGAGUGCUAAGAUCCGUAGUCGAAAGGGAAACAGCCCAGACCACCAGCUAAGGUCCCAAAAUAAUUGUUAAGUGGAAAAGGAUGUGGGGUUGCACAGACAACUAGGAUGUUAGCUUAGAAGCAGCUAUUCAUUCAAAGAGUGCGUAAUAGCUCACUAGUCGAGUGACCCUGCGCCGAAAAUGUACCGGGGCUAAAACAAUUUACCGAAGCUGUGGAUACCUUUAUAGGUAUGGUAGGAGAGCGUUCUAUGUGUGAUGAAGGUAUACCGUGAGGAGUGCUGGAACGCAUAGAAGUGAGAAUGCCGGUAUGAGUAGCGAAAGACAGGUGAGAAUCCUGUCCACCGUAAGACUAAGGUUUCCAGGGGAAGGCUCGUCCGCCCUGGGUUAGUCGGGACCUAAGGAGAGACCGAAAGGUGUAUCCGAUGGACAACAGGUUGAUAUUCCUGUACUAGAGUAUGUAGUGAUGGAGGGACGCAGUAGGCUAACUAAAGCAGACGAUUGGAAGAGUCUGUCUAAGCAGUGAGGUGUGAAUUGAGUCAAAUGCUUAAUUCUAUAACAUUGAGCUGUGAUGGGGAGCGAAGUUUAGUAGCGAAGUUAGUGACGUCACACUGCCAAGAAAAGCUUCUAGCGUUUAAACAUACUCUACCCGUACCGCAAACCGACACAGGUAGUCGAGGCGAGUAGCCUCAGGUGAGCGAGAGAACUCUCGUUAAGGAACUCGGCAAAAUGACCCCGUAACUUCGGGAGAAGGGGUGCUGACUUUAAGUCAGCCGCAGUGAAUAGGCCCAAGCAACUGUUUAUCAAAAACACAGCUCUCUGCUAAAUCGUAAGAUGAUGUAUAGGGGGUGACGCCUGCCCGGUGCUGGAAGGUUAAGAGGAGUGCUUAGCGUAAGCGAAGGUAUGAAUUGAAGCCCCAGUAAACGGCGGCCGUAACUAUAACGGUCCUAAGGUAGCGAAAUUCCUUGUCGGGUAAGUUCCGACCCGCACGAAAGGCGUAAUGAUUUGGGCACUGUCUCAACGAGAGACUCGGUGAAAUUUUAGUACCUGUGAAGAUGCAGGUUACCCGCGACAGGACGGAAAGACCCCAUGGAGCUUUACUGCAGUUUGAUAUUGAGUGUCUGUACCACAUGUACAGGAUAGGUAGGAGUCUAAGAGAUCGGGACGCCAGUUUCGAAGGAGACGCUGUUGGGAUACUACCCUUGUGUUAUGGCCACUCUAACCCAGAUAGGUGAUCCCUAUCGGAGACAGUGUCUGACGGGCAGUUUGACUGGGGCGGUCGCCUCCUAAAAGGUAACGGAGGCGCCCAAAGG